ACCGGGGUAGCUCACAUGGAGAGCGCCACUCAACGAAGCGGAGACGAUGGUUCGCACCCAUCCCCCGGUA
rnacentral:tRNA from 1 species